rnacentral:rRNA from 1 species
UACGGAGGGUGCGAGCGUUGUCCGGAAUCAUUGGGCGUAAAGGGCGCGUAGGUGGCCUGCUAAGCGUGCGGUGAAAGCUCGGGGCUCAACCCCGAGUCGGCCGUGCGAACUGGUGGGCUUGAGCACUGUAGAGGCAGGCGGAAUUCCGGGUGUAGCGGUGGAAUGCGUAGAGAUCCGGAAGAACACCGGUGGCGAAGGCGGCCACCUGGACGGUAACUGACGCUGAGACGCGAAAGCGUGGGGAGCAAACGGG